rnacentral:rRNA from 1 species
GGUGAGUAAUGCCUAGGAAUCUGCCUGGUAGUGGGGGAUAACGUCCGGAAACGGGCGCUAAUACCGCAUACGUCCGAGGGAGAAAGUGGGGGAUCUUCGGACCUCACGCUAUCAGAUGAGCCUAGGUCGGAUUAGCUAGUUGGUGGGGUAAGGCCUACCAAGGCGACGAUCCGUAACUGGUCUGAGAGGAUGAUCAGUCACACUGGAACUGAGACACGGUCCAGAUCCUACGGGAGGCAGCAGUGGGGAAUAUUGGACAAUGGGCGAAAGCCUGAUCCAGCCAUGCCGCGUGUGUGAAGAGGUCUUCGGAUUGUAAAGCACUUUAAGUUGGGAGGAAGGGCAGUAAGUUAAUACCUUGCUGUUUUGACGUUACCACAGAAUAAGCACCGGCUAACUUCGUGCCAGCAGCCGCGGUAAUACGAAGGGUGCAAGCGUUAAUCGGAAUUACUGCGUAAAGCGCGCGUAGGUGGUUCAGCAAGUUGGAUGUGAAAUCCCCGGGCUCAACCUGGGAACUGCAUCCAAAACACUGAGCUAGAGUACGGUAGAGGGUGGUGGAAUUUCCUGUGUAGCGGUGAAAUGCGUAGAUAUAGGAAGGAACACAGUGGCGAAGGCGACCACCUGGACUGAUACUGACACUGAGGUGCGAAAGCGUGGGGAGCAAACAGGAUUAGAUACGGGUAGUCCACGCCGUAAACGAUG